GACCUCCAUGAAGUUGGAUUCGCUAGUAAUCGCGCAUCAGCCAUGGCGCGGUGAAUACGUUCCCGGGCCUUGUACACACCGCCCGUCAAGCCAUGGGAGCUGGGGGUGCCUGAAGUUCGUGACCGCAAGGAUCGACCUAGGGCAAAACCGGUGACUGGGCUAAGUCGUAACAAGGUAGC
rnacentral:rRNA from 1 species